rnacentral:rRNA from 1 species
AGUGAACGCUGGCGGUAGGCCUAACACAUGCAAGUCGAACGGCAGCACAGGAGAGCUCGCUCUCUGGGUGGCGAGUGGCGGACGGGUGAGGAAUACAUCGGAAUCUACUCUGUCGUGGGGGAUAACGUAGGGAAACUUACGCUAAUACCGCAUACGACCUACGGGUGAAAGCAGGGGACCUUCGGGCCUUGCGCGAUUGAAUGAGCCGAUGUCGGAUUAGCUAGUUGGCGGGGUAAAGGCCCACCAAGGCGACGAUCCGUAGCUGGUCUGAGAGGAUGAUCAGCCACACUGGAACUGAGACACGGUCCAGACUCCUACGGGAGGCAGCAGUGGGGAACAUUGGACAAUGGGCGCAAGCCUGGUCCAGCCAUACCGCGUGGGUGAAGAAGGCCUUCGGGUUGUAAAGCCCUUUUGUUGGGAAAGAAAUCCAGCUGGCUAAUACCCGGUUGGGAUGACGGUACCCAAAGAAUAAGCACCGGCUAACUUCGUGCCAGCCGCCGCCGUAA